rnacentral:rRNA from 1 species
CCUACGGGUGGCAGCAGUGGGGGAUAUUGCACAAUGGGGGGAACCCUGAUGCAGCGACGCCGCGUGGGUGAAGAAGCGCCUCGGCGCGUAAAGCCCUGUCAGCAGGGAAGAAAAUGACGGUACCUGAAGAAGAAGCCCCGGCUACCUAGGUGCCAGCAGCCGCGGGAAUACGUAGGGGGCAAGCGUUAUCCGGAUUUACUGGGUGUAAAGGGGGCGCAGACGGCGUUGCAAGCCAGGAGUGAAUGCCGGGGGCCCAACCCCGGGACUGCUCGUGGAACUGCGUGGCGGGAGUGGAGGAGGGGGAGGCGGAAUGCGUGGUGGAGGGGUGAAAUGCGUAGAUAUCGGGAGGAA